rnacentral:rRNA from 1 species
UACAGAGGGGGCAAGCGUUAUUCGGAAUUACUGGGCGUAAAGGGCUCGUAGGCGGCCAACUAAGUCGGAUGUGAAAUCCCCAGGCUUAACCUGGGAACUGCAUCCGAUACUGGAUGGCUUGAAUCCGGGAGAGGGAUGCAGAAUUCCAGGUGUAGCGGUGAAAUGCGUAGAUAUCUGGAGGAAUACCGGUGGCGAAGGCGGCAUCCUGGACCGGCAUUGACGCUGAUGAGCGAAAGCUAGGGGAGCAAACGGG